CUGGGGACACAGUUCUACCCGUAGCAGGGACGUGGCAGGGGUAAGCUGAGGGAAGUCUUUUACGAUCACCCAGAAGUUCAUGAAUUACUACAGUCUCCAGAUGGCUUUUACAACGUGUCCCGGGCCGUUAAGGAGGCAGAAAUGAAGCGAUUCCGCUGGUGUCAGAGGAAGAAGCCACCCUAUUCUCCCAGUGUCAGUGACAGCAAAAACGUGGCCCAUCUUUCCCUGGAGCCAUAGGAGCCUUUAUGACAAAACCUGGAGAAGUUCUUGAACUUGGGACUUUAUGGAAGAAGUGAAACGUUAGAUGACUGGACCCAUAUUGGAAAUGAAAACCAUAAUGGCCUGAAAAAAAAACCAAAAACAC
rnacentral:lncRNA from 1 species